rnacentral:rRNA from 1 species
GACGAACGCUGGCGGCGUGCCUAAUACAUGCAAGUCGAACGCAGUGGGGACGGGUGAGUAACACGUGGGUAACCUCCCAUCAGAGGGGAUAACACUUGGAAACGGGUCCUAACCCCAUAUUGAUGGAUGAACCGGGGUUGCAUUAGCUAGUUGGUGGGGUAACGGCUCACCAAGGCCACGAUGCAUAGCCGACCUGAGAGGGUGAUCGGCCACACUGGGACGGAGACACGGCCCAGACUCCUACGGGAGGCAGCAGUAGGGAAUCUUCGGCAAUGGACGAAAGUCUGACCGAGCAACGCCGCGUGAGUGAAGAAGGUUUUCGGAUCGUAAAACUCUGUUGUUAGAGAAGCGGUAUCUAACCAGAAAGCCACGGCUAACUACGUGCCAGCAGCCGCGGUAAUUC